rnacentral:rRNA from 1 species
UGAAUACGAGAUGCUACGGCAUCGAAGCAGUCUAUGUCAUACUUCCAAGAAAAGCUUGCACUGUCAUAAACAAAUAAUGCCUGUACCAUAACCGACACAGGUGGGUAGGUAGAGUAUACUAAGGGGCGCGAGAUAACUCUCUCUAAGGAACUCGGCAAAAUGACUCCGUAACUUCGGGAGAAGGAGUGCCUUAUUUUAUAAGGUUGCAAUAACAAGAUCCAAGCAACUGUUUACCAAAAACACAGGUCUCCGCUAAGUCGUAAGACGAUGUAUGGGGGCUGACGCCUGCCCAGUGCCAGAAGGUUAAAGAAGUUGGUUAGCAUUAGCGAAGCUGAUAACUGAAGCCCUGGUGAACGGCGGCCGUAACAAUAACGGUCCUAAGGUAGCGAAAUUCCUUGUCGGGUAAGUUCCGACCCGCACGAAAGGCGUAAUGAUUUGGAUACUGUCUCGGAGAGGGGCUCGGUGAAAUAGACUUGUCUGUGAAGAUGCGGACUACCUGCACCAGGACAGAAAGACCCUAUGAAGCUUUACUGUAACUUGAGAUUGAAAUUGGACUUUAUUUGCGCAGUAUAGGUGGGAGACGUUGAAAAUAUUCUUGCGGGAAUAUUGGAGUCAUCAGUGAGAUACCACUCUUAUAAUGUUAGAUUUCUAACUUUGUAUCAUUAUCUGGUCAGAGAACAGUCUCAGGCGGGCAGUUUGACUGGGGCGGUCGCCUCCCAAACGGUAACGGAGGCGCACAAAGGUUUCCUCUGAACGUGUAGAAAUCGUAUCUAGAGUGUAAAGGCAUAAGGAAGCUUGACUGUGAGACCUACAAGUCGAGCAGGGACGAAAGUCGGUCUUAGUGAUCUGACGGUGCUGAGUGGAAAGGCCGUCACUCAACGGAUAAAAGUUACUCUAGGAUAACAGGCUGAUCUCCCCCAAGAGUUCACAUCGACGGGGAGGUUUGGCACCUCGAUGUCGGCUCAUCGCAUCCCGGGGCGGUAGUACGUCCCAAGGGUUGGGCUGUUCGCCCAUGAAAGCGGUACGCGAGCUGGGUUCAGAACGUCGUGAGACAGUUCGGUCCAUAUCCGGUGUAGGCGUUAGAAUAUUGAGAGGAGCCUUCUUUAGUACGAGAGGACCGAGAAGGACAUACCUCUGGUGUACCAGUUAUCGUGCCAACGGUAAACGCUGGGUAGCUAUGUAUGGAGAGGAUAACCGCUGAAAGCAUCUAAGUGGGAAGCCCACCUCAAGAUAAG